UCCCUCGAGUAGACUGAAGCGCCCACAAGAGCCUGUGUAUCCUGAAAGUAAACCCUCUUGCUGAUUGCAUCCGGUGGUCUCGGUCUGGUCAAUGGGCUUGAGGGUCUCCUUCCUGAGAAAAAGUUCUACUUUUCAUUUGGGGUCUCAUCUGGAAUCCGGAGAUCCUCCACCCAGGAGCCACCGACUACCCACCGGGAGGUCUUCUUUACCACUGAGGAAAGAUAGAAUCCUACUAAAGGCCAGAAAAAAAAAGUUCCAGACACGGAUGAAAGGCCCUCACUUCUGCCUGUUGGAUUCAAUACGCCUAAAGAGAUAAGUGCAUGCUACAAUGAAGGACAACACAAAUGUCAUCUGGAAUGGACAAACCUAUACCCCCCAGCACAUCAGCGCCACAGAUGUCUUACCAUCUCUUGGAUGCCCUGAUGAAGCCAACAACUGUGAGUAUUAUUCAUUGCCCAGGACAUCAGGAAGGAAGAGAUUCAGUGACAUGGGGCAGUAACAAAGCAGAUAAAGUGGCUCGGGAAAUGGCUAUACAGGAGCCUAUCCUGGUUACAGGCCUACAAGAGACAGCCACUGGGAACUGGGAUUGGACUAAGGGAUGGCCUCACUUAGAAUGUACAACAGAAGAAAAGGCCCAAAUUGCUUAAAAAAAAGACAAUGACACACUUGAGGAAAAACUAUAUUCCUCAGAGAACAAACAAAAGA
rnacentral:lncRNA from 1 species